rnacentral:tRNA from 1 species
GCAUUGGUGUUUUCAGUGGUAGAAUUCUUGCCUUCCACACAGGAGACCCAGGUUCAAUUCCUAGUUAAUGCA